rnacentral:lncRNA from 1 species
UUUCUGGCUCGUAGACUGUAUAGAGUCAAACCUUACUCGAUUCGAGAUUUUAAACCGGUGAUUUGAGACACCAUAAAUUAUCCCAAGUGGCGACUCUAAAAUCUUUAAACAAAUAAAUCCUGUUUGGAUUGUCCCUUAAUCGGAAAAACUCCCUUAUUUAUGCCCUUCGCUGAGGUUGUAGUGUUAAAAAGGAGGUGUGGCAGCUCUGGCGACUCUGC